rnacentral:rRNA from 1 species
GACGAACGCUGGCGGCGUGCUUAACACAUGCAAGUCGAACGGAAAGGCCCUGCUUUUGUGGGGUGCUCGAGUGGCGAACGGGUGAGUAACACGUGAGUAACCUGCCCUUGACUUUGGGAUAACUUCAGGAAACUGGGGCUAAUACCGGAUAGGAGCUCCUGCUGCAUGGUGGGGGUUGGAAAGUUUCGGCGGUUGGGGAUGGACUCGCGGCUUAUCAGCUUGUUGGUGGGGUAGUGGCUUACCAAGGCUUUGACGGGUAGCCGGCCUGAGAGGGUGACCGGCCACAUGGGGAGGGAGAAACGGCCCAGACCCCUGGGGGGGGCAGCGGGGGGGAAUAUUGCAAAAGGGGGGGAAGCCGGAUGCAGCAACGCCGGGGGCGGGAUGACGGCCUUGGGGUGGUAAACCGCUUUCGCCUGUGACGAAGCGGGAGUGACGGUAAUGGGAAAAGAAGCACCGGCUAACUACGU